rnacentral:rRNA from 1 species
UGGGGAAUAUUGGACAAUGGGGGCAACCCUGAUCCAGCCAUGCCGCGUGAGUGAUGAAGGCCUUCGGGUUGUAAAGCUCUUUUGGCGGGGACGAUGAUGACGGUACCCGCAGAAUAAGCCCCGGCUAACUUCGUGCCAGCAGCCGCGGUAAGACGAAGGGGGCUAGCGUUGUUCGGAAUUACUGGGCGUAAAGCGAGUGUAGGCGGUUGCCGUAGUCAGGUGUGAAAGCCUUGAGCUCAACUCAAGAAAUGCACUUGAUACUGGGUGACUAGAGGACCGGAGAGGAUAGUGGAAUUCCCAGUGUAGUGGUGAAAUACGUAGAGAUUGGGAAGAACACCAGUGGCGAAGGCGGCUAUCUGGACGGUUACUGACGCUAAGACUCGAAAGCGUGGGGAGCAAACAGGAUUAGAUACCCUGGUAGUCCACGCCGUAAACGAUGGGUGCUAGACGUUGGCGAGCUUGCUCGUCAGUGUCGCAGCUAACGCGUUAAGCACCCCGCCUGGGGAGUACGGCCGC